rnacentral:lncRNA from 1 species
AAAAAAAAAAAAAAAAAAAAGACACCUCAAAAACCAAAAACUAUCAAGUGUCCUAUUCAGUGGCUCUUAGGACACUUGGAGUUGUGCAACCAUCACCACUAUAAAAUUCCAGAACAUUCCAUCACCCCUAAGAGAAAACUUGUCUCACCACCCUACAACACACACAGCAACCCAGGCAACCACUGAUGUGAUCUCUGCAUCUCCAGAAGCCAGAGCCUGGAAGCAGAAGCGGGGACAGGCGGCGCCUGGCUUCCAGACAGAAGGGCCAUGUGGCCAGGAACUGAGCAGGACCCUUGGUCCCCCGGCCGCAAGCUGCUGAAUUCCGCCAACGCCUGCGUGAGUUGCAAGCAGAUGCCACCCCCGUUGAGCCUCCAGAUGACAACACAGCCCUGGCUGACACCUGGGUUCCAGCCCGGUGAGACCCCGCAGAGAGGAGCCAGCCAUGUCACAUUCAGGCCCCGACCCACAGAACCGGGAGCUGGCGGGUGUUGUAUUAAGCCCACAGAUGCACGGAGUCUGCUAUGCAGUGACAGAAAGCAAGCAUGCCAAGUGUGGGGGACACGGGGCCCCCUCCCAGAACAGCACACAGCCUGGCACUGACACGGAACACCCACCUCCAGUGGUUUCUGUAAACACUCGCCCCCUAGUCGGCCAAGGGCUAGGAAAAGAGAGACCUCAGAAGACAAGCCACGAAACGUAAGCCCCGGAGCGCAGCCCCUCCCCUGGUGGGCCCGACUUCCCAUCCCUUGACCACAUUCCUGCAGCUGUGGUGGGCCCUGGCUGUCGGGUGGAGCAGGCAGCCACUGGGGUGUCCCUGCUUACUCAGUCACAGAGGAGGCCCUGGCUGGAGUGGGGCUGCGGGAAGAGCUGGGAUCACUCCCGGGGCUCCUGCUAACAUCCCUGACUGCCGGGCAGUGUGCCAAGGCGGCUCUCGGGUGAGAACCUCCCGGCCUGACAUCACCAGCACUGUUACCAUCCCUGCCGCUGGCACAGGUGAGGACAUCCCUGCUGCUGGCACAGGUGAAGACAUCCCAGCCACUGGCACAGGUGAGGACGGGAGGCAGUAAAGCCGUUACCAUCCCUGCUGCUGGCACAGGUGAGGACAGGAGAUAGUAGAGCCAUUACCAUCCCUGCUGCUGGCACAGGUGGACAUGAGGCAGUAGGGCCACUCCACUGGAGAGGAAGGGCUGGUGGGGCCCCCAGCUCUCGGGAUCCGCCCAUUAGAAGGGAGCCUGCCCUAGGCGGGCAGACAGCACAGCAGAGAGGCAGGCGUGGGGACAGCCAGCCUGCAGGGACUGCUCACAGGGCCCUGGGGGACAGCGCCUCUGGCUCCCACAUCUCUGGCAUCCACCCCACCUGAACACCCCCAAACCACAGUCUCAGCUGGCCAGCCUUCCCCCACCUGCAUCUGCCCCCACAGACUCGCACCGCAGGCCUGAGGUUG